UACGUAGGUGGCAAGCGUUGUCCGGAUUUACUGGGCGUAAAGGAUGCGUAGGUGGAUGUUUAAGUCAGAUGUGAAAUACCCGAGCUUAACUUGGGUGCUGCAUUUGAAACUGGAUAUCUAGAGUGCAGGAGAGGUAAGUGGAAUUCCUAGUGUAGCGGUGAAAUGCGUAGAGAUUAGGAAGAACACCAGUGGCGAAGGCGACUUACUGGACUGUAACUGACACUGAGGCAUGAAAGCGUGGGUAGCAAACAGG
rnacentral:rRNA from 1 species